rnacentral:rRNA from 1 species
AGCUUGUUGGUGGGGUGAUGGCCUACCAAGGCGACGACGGGUAGCCGGCCUGAGAGGGCGACCGGCCACACUGGGACUGAGACACGGCCCAGACUCCUACGGGAGGCAGCAGUGGGAAAUCUUGCGCAAUGGGCGAAAGCCUGACGCAGCGACGCCGCGUGAGGGAUGACGGCCUUCGGGUUGUAAACCUCUUUCAGCCCUGACGAAGCGAAAGUGACGGUAGGGGCAGAAGAAGCACCGGCCAACUACGUGCCAGCAGCCGCGGUAAUACGUAGGGUGCGAGCGUUGUCCGGAAUUAUUGGGCGUAAAGAGCUCGUAGGCGGUUUGUCGCGUCGGCUGUGAAAACUCGGGGCUCAACCCCGAGCUUGCAGUCGAUACGGGCAAGCUAGAGUUCGGCAGGGGAGACUGGAAUUCCUGGUGUAGCGGUGAAAUGCGCAGAUAUCAGGAGGAACACCGGUGGCGAAGGCGGGUCUCUGGGCCGAUACUGACGCUGAGGAGCGAAAGCGUGGGGAGCGAACAGGAUUAGAUACCCUGGUAGUCCACGCCGUAAACGUUGGGCGCUAGGUGUGGGAUCCCUUCCACGGGUUCCGUGCCGCAGCUAACGCAUUAAGCGCCCCGCCU